rnacentral:rRNA from 1 species
CUACGGGACGCACCAGUGGGGAAUAUUGCACAAUGGGCGCAAGCCUGAUGCAGCAACGCCGCGUGGGGGACGACGGCCUUCGGGUUGUAAACCUCUUUUAGUAGGGAAGAAGCGCAAGUGACGGUACCUACAGAAAAAGCACCGGCUAACUACGUGCCAGCAGCCGCGGUAAUACGUAGGGUGCAAGCGUUGUCCGGAAUUAUUGGGCGUAAAGAGCUCGUAGGCGGUUUGUCGCGUCUGCUGUGAAAAUCCGAGGCUCAACCUCGGACCUGCAGUGGGUACGGGCAAACUAGAGUGCGGUAGGGGAGAUUGGAAUUCCUGGUGUAGCGGUGGAAUGCGAAGAUAUCAGGAGGAACACCAAUGGCGAAGGCAGCUCUCUGGGCCGUAACUGACGCUGAGGAGCGAAAGCGUGGGGAGCGAACAGGAUUAGAUACCCUAGUAGUC